GUCACAUUUUUAUAUUUAUGUAUGAUAAGCUUCAGAGAAAUGUAAUUUGUAACACUUUUUUUGGAUUUUUCAGCUUCGGUUUUUUUGGCAAUCAAAUGUGGGAGGGACCUAUAAGACAACCGUCUGGCGGAUGCUUCAAAGUACCUUCUCUAAUCACCUUUCCAUCAAUACAACCUGGACUGGAGUUGGGGAUAAAGCAUGUUUUAGAGACAUGUUCCUGAAGACCAUUGUUCAAAGAGCCAUCCGGAAGAACCCGGCAACACAGGAUGCCACUGAUGAAGCCGUCCCAGGUUAACGUUACGCGUUACCUGAAAGGAGCAUCUGACCGUGAAGGCGGAAAAAGGUGCCGCACAGCUGAGAGGGACCCACAGCAGACCCCUUAAACCUAGGCUGACUACUGACACCCCAGCAUCACUGACAACUGGAACCCUUUCUUUAUCCUGCAGUCAGUAACAUCAAGACCCCUAAAGAAGCCAGAAGUGUCAGACUGCACUCCCCAAUCCACACUGUUCACUGUGGAUAUUAUCAUAGUGCUUAACUCUUAUUAUAUUGUUAAAUAUAGCUUGUAAAUCCUUGUGCCACAGGUCAGCAUUGCAGUUAUAUCUGUUCUACUACUUUUUUUACCUCAGUAUUUUUUAUAUAUAUGUGAAGAUGUUUAUCACAGAUACAAGAGACAUCUUGUACCCCAGGUCAGCAAUGCCAAUAUAAUGGUCUAUUCUACUCCAGAGCUUUAUUCUAAAUUAUUACCACUUAUCUUAUUGUUAGAAAUGGCUUGUAAAUGUGAUGUUAUACCUGAAUUUUUUUUGGUGUCCUGCACAUUCUUUGGUACCAGAUAUACUCAUUACUUAUGUUUACUGGUAAUUCUUUUCAUCCCAGAGCUGACCUCUUUAUAUUAUUAACAAUUAUUGUAAGUGUUAUAAUUUGCUUGUAAGCUAAGGCUGUUUUUUUUUUUAACAAUUUAAUUGGAAACCUGCAUGUUCUUUUGUGUGUGUGUGUGUGUAUAUUUUUUUUCUCUUUUUUUCUGUUAUUUAUAUUUCAGGGAUCUGACAUCAUGUUUCAAUGACAGUUACUGUACUUUGAAAUGUGGAAUUAAAACGUCAAAUGGAAAUUUGUCUGGUUUGAUCAAUCAUUAUUCUUGAUAAACUGCAUUAUAUAUAUAUUUAUA
ensembl:lncRNA